rnacentral:rRNA from 1 species
AACGAACGCUGGCGGCAGACUUAACACAUGCAAGUCGAACGCCCCGCAAGGGGAGUGGCAGACGGGUGAGUAACGCGUGGGAAUCUACCCAGUUCUACGGAGCAACAGUUGGAAACGACUGCUAAUACCGUAUACGCCCUAAGGGGGAAAGAUUUAUCGGAAUUGGAUGAGCCCGCGUUGGAUUAGCUAGUUGGUGGGGUAAUGGCCUACCAAGGCGACGAUCCAUAGCUGGUCUGAGAGGAUGAUCAGCCACACUGGGACUGAGACACGGCCCAGACUCCUACGGGAGGCAGCAGUGGGGAAUAUUGGACAAUGGGCGCAAGCCUGAUCCAGCCAUGCCGCGUGAGUGAUGAAGGCCUUAGGGUUGUAAAGCUCUUUCAGUAGGGAAGAUAAUGACGGUACCUACAGAAGAAGCCCCGGCUAACUUCGUGCCAGCCGCCGCAGUAACAC